ACUCCUGCGGCCGCAAUGGAGGAGGAGGAUGAGGAAGACUGGGCCCUGCUUGUAGGUGGCCCUGACGAGGCCAACAGAGGUGCCCUCACCGCCCCCAGGGCCCUGCCAGCCCUCUGUGACCCCAGUCGCCUGGCACACCAGCUUUUGGUGCUGUUACUGAUGUGCAUCCUUGGCUUCAGCAGCCAUUUUUGCUAUGACAACCCUGCUGCCCUUCAGACCCAGGUUAAAUGGGAUAUGCAAGUGAAUACCAUGGAAUUUGUGCUGCUGUAUGCCUGGUGUUCUCGGCCCUACGUAGUUUUGUGUGUCUCUGGUGGCUUUUUGAUAGACCGAGUAUUUGGAAUAUGAUGGGGCAGAAUUGUUUUUAGCUGCUUUUUUGCAUUGGGCAGGUUGGUUUUGCUCCGGGUGGAAUAUUUAAUGUUUUUUGACUGAUGGAAUUUGGAAGAUUUGUAUUUGGGAUUGGUGGAGAGUCCUUAGCAGUUGCCCAGUUGUACAUAUGCUGUGAGCUGGUUUAAAGGCAAAGAAUUAAGCCUGGUGUUUGGACUUAAACUUAGCAUGGCUAGAAUUGGAAGUAUAGCAAACACGAAUCUCAUAGGAUGGCUGUAUUCUAAGACUGAAGCUUUGUUAGGCUCUGCUGGUCACACAAUCCUUGGGGUCACACUUGUGAUCAGGGGUGUAACGUGUAUUCUUUCACUAAUCUGUGCCUUGACUGUUGCCUACUUGGAUCAGAGAGCAGAGAGAAUAUUUCAUAAAGAACAAGGAAAAACAGGUGAAGUUAUUAAAUUAAAUGAUGUAAAGGACUUCUCCUUACCCUGUGGCUCAUAUUUAUCAUCUGUCUCUGCUGUUGUGUUGCCGUGUUGCGUUUUACUGGACUUGGGAAUGUAUUCUUUACAGAGAAAUGCAGACUUUCUUCCCAGGCAGCAAGUGCAGUUAACAGUACUGUAUACGUCAUAUCAGCUCCCAUGUCCUCGGUAUUUGGCUGGUGGAUAAAACAGGGAGGAACGUCAUCUGGGUUCUGCGUGUGAUAGUAGCCACUCUUGUGUCCCACAUGAUGCUGGCCUUUACAAUGUGGAACCCUUGGAUUGCUAAGCGUCUUCUGGGAAUUUCCGAUUCAUUGCUUGCGUAUGCAUUGUGGCCAAUGGUGGCAUCUGUAAUUUCUGAACAUCAGCUGGGAACUGCAUGUGGCUUCAUGCAGGUCCAUUCAGAAUCUUGGGUUGGCCAUCAUGUCCAUCACUGCUGCUUUGAUACUGGAUUCUGGGGGCAUUUGUUUUCAGAAGUUUUCUUCAUCGUUUGUGUUUCUUUGUCACUUUUAUCUGUGGUCUUAUUCCCCUUGGUGAAUCGUGCCCAGGGUGGAAACCUAAAUUAUUCUGCAAGACAAAGGGAAGAAAUAACGUUUUCUCAUACUGAAUGAGAAGUUUAAAAGAACGUGUCAUGAAAAUGGGCUUAAUACAUCAUUGGUUCGAAAACCUCCAUUUAUAAAAAUGUAGAGUUUAGUCAUUAGAAAAAAAUGACAGACUGGAAAGUUAUAUUUACAUCCAAAUAUACCUAUUUCAAAGUGUAUUUGUGAGGAUUAUUUUAGCUUGUGUCUUUUGUAUUGUGUAUUACUGAAGAAUUCUACUUUUAGUAGGCUAAUCAAUAAUGUAAGGGUUAGAAAAUUGCUCUGGAACAUCCAGGUGAAUUUCAGGAAGGACAGUGAAAAAUAGAAAACAUUGGAGCUUCUGUUGAGAUCAUCUUCAUUAAGUAUAUACCUUAGGGAGACCACCUUUUCUUUAUCUUAUAGCAGGAAAGGAACUUUUGAGGGGAAUAGAAGGGCUGCGUUAUACAAAAUAAACAAUGGCAUUGUCAUAGGCCUUCCUUUUAGUGAUAGGGCAUAAUGCUAGGGAAUAUGUGAAGAUGUUUUUAUGAAGUCUCUUUCUGGUCAUGACCAGUAGCUUGCACUCUACUCUCUAGUUAUGUGGAUUGCUGAGCAAUGACUCUUGAAUUUCUUAUUUCUCUGUUACUGAGGACCCCAAUCACGGACAUAAUUUUAUAGUAUGAACUUUCUGUACAGUUUUUCUUAUAGUCUAAUUAAUAACUAAAAAGUGUCCUUCAAAUUAUGAUAUUUGGUUAUUUAUAUGGAUAAAUAAAAACACUGCACAAGGAGUA